rnacentral:rRNA from 1 species
GUAACGGCGAGUGAAGCGGCAACAGCUCAAAUUUGAAAUCUGGCCUCUUCGGGGUCCGAGUUGUAAUUUGUAGAGGGUGUUUCGGGCGCGAUGCCGGUCUAAGUUCUUUGGAACAGGACGUCGUAGAGGGUGAGAAUCCCGUAUGCGACCGGCGAUCAAGCCUGUGUGAAGCCCCUUCGACGAGUCGAGUUGUUUGGGAAUGCAGCUCAAAAUGGGUGGUAAAUUUCAUCUAAAGCUAAAUAUUGGCCAGAGACCGAUAGCGGACAAGUAGAGUGAUCGAAAGAUGAAAAGCACUUUGGAAAGAGAGUCAAACAGUACGUGAAAUUGUUGAAAGGGAAGCGCUUGCAAUCAGACCGGUCCGGAGGCGAUCAGCCGCUGCUCGUCAGCGGUGCACUCGCCUGCGAUCCGGCCAGCAUCGGUUUGGGCGGCGGGAGAAAAGGCCGGGGAAUGUAGCUUCUUUCGGGGAGUCUUAUAGCCCGGGUCGCAAUGCCGCCCGCCUGGACCGAGGACCGCGCUUCGGC